rnacentral:lncRNA from 1 species
UCCUUUUUUUUGUAGGAUAGAGGGCUGAGCAGCAGGCAUAACUGAUUGACAAGCUGACAACAGCAAGGUGCUUCAGAUAUAAUGACAGUGUGCACAUGCGCUUUAGUGACAUGUUGUGCUAGUGAUCUGUAGGAGAAUUAGGCAGGGAAUCUAUGCAAGGAAAGUUUUUAUUAUUUUGAAACUGGAACUAAUGACACUGGUAUUGGAUUACCGGUCUUACUGACUUUAUAUAUAAUCUCCCUUCACACCUAAUCUCAUCAACUGGAUAGGUAUUUCUGGUUCAGAAUAUUUAUAGCUUUGAACAGAACAUUGGUGCUCUUGUAACUAUCAUUAAAGGGGUCCUGCCUCUUUGUUCAUGUUUAUCAACAUUUAAAUUCAAUUCUAAUUCUUCAAAGACUACAACAAGGUGAUCAAUGUAAAUUGAUGGCUGGAUUCGGUUAAUCACAUGUUGAACUUGCAUUUUAUUUUUAGUAGAGGUUUAUUUGCAAGCACAGGAAUAAUGAAGCCCUAGGUUUAGUGCAUUUUUUCCCUCCAGAGUUGAGCCUAAGGAUUCAAGUUCACUGACACUUAUCAUUGUGGGUUCAAGCAUUUGCACACAUAUUAGCAUAUUGAAAUGGCUAAAGUAUUAGAGGUUGGUGCUAGAGUCUUUCCAUAACAGCGCACUUGGGACUGAAGUUUGAUUCAUGCAAAAUUUUUCAAUUGAAUCAUGCUUGAUGUUCAAAAACUAGCAAGAAUCAUAGAAAUAGCAACACUGUAUUGUGUAAUAGGUUGCAUACCUUUUCCCCCUUUGCAUUUGUUUAUUUUUCUAACGUUGUUUGGAAAUUGCCACAUCAAGGCCUAAUUUUCUAGUGAUCUGCCUAGCGCCCAAUAGCUAGCUAGCCUCUCUACUCAAGCAUUGAGGCAUCACCCCCUUCUACCCACCUAGGGCAUUUUCAGAUCAGUGUUUUGAAACUUUGCUUCGUAGUGGUACUCUUUUCUUAUUGUAACUGACUGUAUGCUGAGAGCGAAUAUCUAUAUGCUGAGACUUUGCUGAUUUCUUUUUUCCUUUGCAUUAGGUUCGUGAACUAGCUGAGAAGGAACCUGAGAAUGGUGUUUUCAAAAUGCUCCGAAAUGACGUCACUCGUUUCCUGACAACUAUUCUCAUUGGCACAACGUAAUCCAUGGCAUUUCUAAGUUGUGCAUCACUCAUUGCAAUUUUGUUUUACUAACCCUAAACCCUAAUCUCGGGCAUAAUUUGUAUGAAAUAGUGUGGUCAACAUUGGCGCAACAGCAAUUGUUACUGAGGCAGCAACAGCAAUGUUUGGUGAAGCAGGUGUUAGUGCAGCAACAGGUGUCAUGACAGUAUGUCUCCUGUCUCAUACUGGCCUUCUGCUCUUGUGUAAGUGUUCUUUAAUCUAACUAUGGAGCACCAUUUUUUAGGUUGCCAUCUUACUUCUUACAGAGAUCACUCCCAAAAGUGUUGCAGUCCAUAAUGCCACCGAGGUCGCUAGGUUUGUGGUAAGGUGAGAGAUAUCAAGUAUAACUUAGUUUCAAACAUGUUUAUUUUGAGUACUGAACAUUGUGCAUUUGUUGCGAUAUAUCAGACCGGUCGCAUGGCUUUCGCUGAUCCUCUAUCCAGUUGGGCGGAUUGCUACUUUUCUGUCUAUGGGAAUGCUAAAGAUUCUAGGCCUGAAAGGGAGAAGGUAAGACUGUAAGAGUAUGUAUAAUACUCUAGUUCUUGAUCAACUAGAAGAUAAAUUCUUUGAAAAUAUGCCAACUCAAUAAGCUCAUGUUAGUCAUAGAUUAUAUCCCCCAUUAGUUAUGAUAUGCUUUCAAGAAGGAUACACAAACAAUAAAUUAAUUCAUGCCACAAGAACCACACAGAACUCUUUUUUAAGAGCAUAUGGCUUGCUCUGCGUAGUGGAUAUAACCAGGGAAGCACAAGGAUUGAGUUUCUAGGUGUGUGUGGGUUCUGCUCAGGUGGGCAACUCUAGCUUCAUCCAUCUGUAUCUUUUUCUUGAUGAAAUGGCAUGCAGCUCUUUUGCGUCAUUCGAGAAAAAAUAACCAGGGAAGCACACUGAUUGAGUUCCUGGUUCCUGCCAAAUAAAAUCUCACCUGUUUUCUUUUAAAAAUGGAUUAAACUUGUAUAUUACUAGAAUUCAAGUACAAAUGAGAUGGUACAACAUGGACUAGAUUAGACUAGUUUGAGUAUGUGUUGAGUCUAGUUUAUAGGGUGAUAGUUGUACUUUCUAAAAUUUCUAUAAUUAGUAAAUAGUGCAGUGACUAUAUUUUUAAUCAAUAGAUGACCGUUGACACUAUUCCAAGAAUUGCAUAUCAUCUGUUAUUGUUCAUGAAGGAUCUAAUUCUAGUUUGAAUUUGCUAGAAACUUAUUGAUUGCUUUCUGUAUAAUUUAGUUUACAAAUUGAAUUUAGUAUCUGAUAUUGUAAUACAAUACACAUUUGUAUGUUAUUUUUUGCAUUUUUUUUACAAAAUCCAGUACUCAAGUACAUUGAUUUGCUAUGUCUUUUAGUUACUACAUUUGUAUAUGUUUAACCAAUAUACAAUUGAGAUUCCUAUAUAGAUAAGAUUUAGUUUUUCUUUUUCAUAACUCUUGACAUUUCUGGAGAUCUACUUCUGAAUCUUGUGCAUCAUAUACACUUCUUUCCUCAGUGAACCAUAUGUUACUGAAGAUGAACUGAAGUUAAUGUUACGAGGAGCAGAGUUGAGUGGUGCAAUUGCAGAAGAUGAACAGGUUAGACAAUCUAGUAUAUGGAGAUGCCCAUAUAUUGUGCUGCAUAUUUCCUUCUUUAUUCUUUAUGUUUCUGUGUACCUCACAGCAAGAUUUUGUUAUCCAGUGCAAUCUAGGCAAAGCCUUUACUUACAAUUUUUAUAUCAUAUAGAAAGCUGACUACUUACAUAAAUAAAGAGUGAAUUAAUGAAAUUUCAGGAAAAUAGUAACUAACGUUUUUGCAUGAUUUUAACUGCUAAUUUAAUGUUUGUACACCAUCUCAUCACAUAUAUCCAGAAUUUGAAAAGCAGUAUGGCCCCAAAGGUUUGAGUUAGAUUAUACUGUUGCAGACUAGGAUUUUGCCUCUUGAUAGUUUACUAGCACACUUUGGCUACUUCUUUGUUUUCUUGAAAACGCAGGAGAGCUGCACUUCAUUAUAUUAAGAGGAUAAAGGGCAAGAGCCCGAACAACCCCACAAACACCAUACACACACCACACACAUCACACACUCACGCCCCAACAGAAAUGUUACAUUCGCGCCCGUAAGAAAACACACAACGCGACCACUACUAGGCUAAACAUUUCUAACUAUCGGGGAGGAGGGCAGUCAAGAAUGAUAGCUCUCGAGCUGCUGCCAUAGACCAUAAACGGCGCUCCUCGCCUGCUAUGAUCAGAGCGCCAGCAAGGUUUGGAGCUGCUCCAUCAAAGACACACCCAUUGCGAUGGUUCCAUAUAGUCCAAGCUCCGAGCAUAACAAGAGAAUUAAUUCCUUGCCUUGUCAGCCCAUCAGCAGUGCUGCUAGCCUUCUCCCACCAAGCAUGGAAGGAUAAUUCUGUAAGCUGAGGGGACAAAAGCCUGAUUGAACCAAAAUUCUCUUGUGAACACACAAUGGACAAGUAGAUGGUCGAUAGUCUCCUUUUCAUGGUCACAAAGGAGGCAAUUCUCCGGAUGAGGUAACCCUCGGCGUGCUAGACGAUCAGCUGUCCAGCACUUAUUGUGCGACCAGCCACAUAAAGAAACGGCAUUUGGGCAGCACCCAUGAUUUCCAAAUCUUUUCCCAUGGUCCAAAAAGAGUAGAUCCGAAAAAGAAGCCUUCAUAUGCCGAUUUAGCCAAGUAUUGUCCAUUAGAGGAGAGCCUCCAUAGGUGCUGCAGCUGAAAAUCCAGAAGUAGAUCCCACCAUAAGUGAAAGUAGUCAACAAACCCACCAACUGUGAGCGCUCCUUGUAUGUCCAAAAUCCAAGCCCGGUUAGUAAGGGCAUCCUGGACAGUAUGCUGCUUAACCCUCCUUUUAGGAGUAGCCACAAAAAGUCGAGGGGCAAGAUCUGCAAUGCAUUGCCCAUUGAUCCGAUCUGUCCAGAAAAGAGUGUUUGCACCAUCCAAUUUCAGAAGUUACUGCCACUGAGUAGAAGGCUCUUACUUGCUUCGGCACAUGGAAUGGUAGAGCAGCCCAAGGACAAUGAGGUUCUGUUUUCUGCAGCCAAACCCAUCUCGUGCGCAAGGACCAGCCAAGGGUUUUUAAAUCUGAAAUUCCCAGGCCUCCAAGCUCUGGUGGGCCACAGACUUUGACCCAAGCCACAAGACAAUGACCACCUUUUUGCAUAUUUUCGACCCCUCCAAAGAAAGCCACGCCAAAUUUUAUUUACCACUUUGAUAGCCAUGGAGGAAAGUCGAAAGCAAUAGCUAAGUAAAUGAGCAUUCUCAGUGAGAACUGAUUGUACUUGAACCCUUCUUCCAGCCCUUGUCAUUAGGUCUGCCUUCCAGCCAGGAAGUUGAUCUGCAGUACGAUCAAUAAUAGGCUGCACUUGUUUCUUUAGGGAGAGGGGCAGACCUAAGUAUUUGCAUGGGAAAUCCGAGAGGGGCACACCUAGCUAGUUUCUUUGGCUACUGUUAUCCUUUAGGUAUUUUGCAGAACCUUUCCAUAGCAAUCCCAUUAAUCUUUAGGAAGCGAUCCCAUUUGUUAAAGCCCCUGCAGGCAACUUUCAAGUUCAUUAUUCUCGAUCACAGGUAGUCAUUCUGCAUAUUUUUCCCUCAGAAUCAUCAUAAGAAUUGGGUUAAGUGGAUAGGUCAGACUAUAGCAUGGAAAUACAUAAGUACUGAUAGGUUGUUGAAACUAUCUAAGACUACAGAUUUAUCGUGUCAAUUUGUCACAAAUAACAGAUUUUAGCUGAUGAAAUCAGUACUUCUGCAGUACAUAGAAAUACUAAAUGUGUAGUUUUAGUUUUGCAAAAACAAGGACACUAAAUUUAUAAUUCUGUGAUAAAACUUCUUAAAUCUGUAGUUUUGUGAUAGCAUAGCCCACUCACACAUAUACAAAAAAAAAGAAAAAGAAAAAAAGGAACCAUAUAGUUAUUUAUGUGCUUAGAUUCUAGGCCCUAGAACUAGAACCUAUAGCUGUGUUACACUAUUAUGAAUUCCUAGUCCGUGCCUGCUUGUGCAGGACACUUUUCUACUUGAUCAGCUAAAGUCAGCACCUGAGUCUUUUAACAGGAUAUGAUCGAGAAUGUCCUGGAAAUUAAAGAUACACAGGUGAGGGAAGUAAUGACGCCUUUGGUGGACGUAGUUGCAAUUGAUGCUAUUGCAACACUUAUUGAUUUCAAAAACUUGUGGGAAACUCAUCAGUACUCUAGGUAUUGUCAACUAUUAUUGUCGCGUGUAUUUUCAAGUCUUAUCACUGACAUCUGCUGCUAUUUGUUAUUUCCAGAGUUCCUGUAUUUGAGGAGCGCAUAGAUAAUAUUGUUGGAAUUGCAUAUGCAAUGGACAUGCUUGAAUAUGUUGAAGAGGUAUGUCUCUUGUUUACCAUUUAAUGUAAAACUUAAUCACAGUGAGUCUUAUUUGCUCCACAUGAUGCUUCUCUAAAGGGAAAGUAAAAGGUGUAUUUUUCUUUUGAAGGUUGAGAAGCUGAAUGAAAUCACUGUUAAGAAAAUCGCACAUAUGCCUACAUACUUUGUUCCAGGUAAUUUUUAGUAACAUUGUUGGAUACAAGUAUCAUGAUGAACUAAAAGAAGGCAUCUGUCAGUAGUUAUAGGGUUGGAUGUUUUUCCACAACAAUUAAUCAUUUCUGCCACAUGUUUUCUCCCAUCUAUGCAUCAUGGAUGUAACAUAUGAUACUGUUUCAUCUGGCAGAUUCAAUGUCUGUUUGGAACCUAUUAAGAGAGUUCCGGAUCAGGCAGGUUCAUAUGGCAGUGGUCCUUAAUGAAUAUGGUGGAACUAUUGGUGUAUGUCCCUAUGAAACCCAUUUUUUAUACUUUACAAACUGGACACAGUUUAGUACUUGUUAAUAUUCUUGUUAUGCUUUCAUCCAAGGCUAGUUGCUCAAUUGAGACCAUUUUGACUUAUGGCACACAACGAGGUUCAACAUUGUUUACUCCAAUCAAUUUUUAGUUGUAACUUCCAAGCAUGCUAGUUAGUUUGCUAAUAAUUGAUGAAUGCUAGUCAGUACAUGGUGACAUUUUGAUGGCCAUUUAUUGGCAACACUACUGGCUUUUGUUCCACAAUGGUCGUGUUUUUAGCACAAGCAUGUGGUGCGAUGCUUCAAGUGAUCUUGCUGCACAGCUUAUGUAACUGCAGCAAUGGGGCACUUUUCAUCUGUUGCAGUAGCAGUCCCUGUUGUUCAUGGUUUGUUUCCUUUUAAGAUAUACCCCACACAUAGAGAUUAGUUAUGCUCCAUGCAGCAGAGAUUAUUACUUUCCACAAGUUUAGAGAUUGUUUCUUAGGAAGUAGUUAUGCUCACAGUUUGUUCAUCAGUUUCUGUUUUCAGAAGUAGUUGAUGAGCGAUGAACAUGUUUUGAUUAUGUUUGCUGCUGAAAGGAUAAUUCUUUAAGAUGUUUUUCUCAUUACUGAUGCUCAUUGGUAAAAGUUGCAAAUGAUUGGACAAAGCUACUACCCGUGAGCUUCCUUUGUCUCACAUACCCUUCGAGCAAUUACGCUUUAAUGUAGCAAUAUCUAUCCAUUACUUGCAGCAACUAAGUCCUAUUGUAUUCAGAAAUGUUUAUUAGAACAGUUUGUAAUUUCAUAUGUUUAUCACUGCAUGGGACAUUGGGAAUUACUCUGACCUUUGGCCAAAAAAAAAUGCAGAUUGUAACACUAGAAGAUGUAGUGGAAGAAAUAGUUGGUGAAAUAUUUGACGAGAAUGAUUCCAAGGUGAUUAUUUCUGGAAUUUUUUAUUUCAAAUCGCAAGUGGGUGUUCAGUGCCAUACAUAUGCAUGCUAUUAUUUUCUAUUUCUUUUUCAAAAUUAUUUCCCCCUUUCUUUUGGUUUAUUAUUCCCUUUUUGCCUUGUAACUAUCGUUCUUAUAUUACAUAACUGACUUUUCAUAUGUUGGUAAUAAAUAAUGAUAUGCUAGCAUUUGAACUUACGAAAUUUAGUGGGCCAAACAUACUGAGCCAUGCCAAAAAAGACAGGCAAAUCAUACAGUCAUAUUUUAGCAGCAGCAGUGCAUUAGCGCGGUGGGUACUGAGCCGGAGUUUGCAUGUGCCUGAAGGUGGCUGAAUGAAUAAGGUGGAUAUUACCCUACCCGCACCCAAAUCAAAAUGUGUAUUUUAUUUCUACCCAUACCCUCCCCAAUUAAUGCGGGUGUGGAUUUGAAUAUGGGGAUUGAAUAUCCAGCGGCAGGUAUAAAGAUUAGAUCUCCUGCCUCAGUGCUUCUCCAAGAUCUGGAAGCAGCUGCUUCACUCCUAUUUUCUGUAUCCUAGUCAAAACAAAGGAUUUUUCCAUGUAGCAAGCUAGUUGCUCUUUGUCAUUUGCUUAGGCAGUCUCUCAAUUCCUUCUGCUACUCUGUUUUUCACCCUUUCAGGAGGAAAUCCAGAAGAAAACAGGCUAUAUAGUGAGGCGGGGAGAUGGAACAUUUGAUGUUGAUGCAAAUACAUCAAUAGAUCACCUCUCUGAAGAGCUUGGUAUCAAAAUACCAGAGGUAUUGUUUCUCAUUUGAUCUUAGCUUUCUCUACAGUUGCUAUGCAUUCCCUUGGACAUGUGUAUAUUUAAGGAAGGUAUGGCUCGGAAAAUAGUAGAUUGAUUAUGAGUAGUACAAAAGGGUAGGCAAGGAUGAUCUGGGAUUUAUAGAACAAUACCCAAUCAGGGAGAUCCUUGCCUAAUAGCUAAUCAACUACAUAAAACCCAUGGAGGCAGGCUUAGGUGCCAGGGCCCAUGCGGCCAGCCCAAUAGCCCUCUGGAAACUCCAUUCUAACAUAUAUGUUGGAGUGGACACUGUAUGAUGAUCAUCGAAAUGUGAGUUCCAUCAUUUAGAGAUGCCUGGUUUGCAGAACCUAUACAGAUAUAACGUUAUUAUAUCUAUUUUUUGGUGGAAACUGGACAUUUAAUAUUUAGGUCAACAAAAUAUUCACAAAUGUUCUGUUUGUAAAAUAUGCCCUUGGUAGUCAUCAUUUAUAUGGUGCUCUGUAUUUCUGUCAUGUUUCUCGUAGAUUGGCUGAUAAUCUUGAGACACUUGGACACUAUCUUUUGGCAGGGGCAUCAGUAUGAGACGGUGUCUGGUUUUGUCUGUGCAUCUUUUGGCUAUAUUCCAGAAGAAGGUGGGAAAAUGCUUGUGAUUCUUGAAAAGGAUUACAGAGAAGAAAACGGUGAAUAUCAGGAGGAAGGUUCUGAUCGCCAAGAUGAUAGAGAAAAAACUCAAGCUUACGAACUUGAGGUAAUUGUUACAACUCCUUGUGUACUCUGUUUGCUCAAGAGUUCUAGUACCAGGUCAAUUAUUAUAAUGCGAUUAUCUUGUCAUCGCUAGAAAUCUUUACUAGUAUAUAUAACUAUUAUGAAUUUUCCUUCAUUACUUGAAAGCUGAAAGACACCACAAAAGCUUCAAUUUUCUUUGUUGAUGCAAUACCAUGAAACCUUUUUUGUUAAAUAACUCUCAUUAGAACCAAUUUUCCAUACAGGGCAUUUGGUUCUUAGAUCAUUUUAUAGGAUAUUUCGUACUAUAAGUAAGAACCAACUACUAUCCACAAUUACCUCUACAUGCUUGUUUGUGCAUAUAAAAAGACAACAAUACUCAGAAGGUUGCUGUAACAUGUCCACACUCCGCUUUUGUGGUGCUAAUACUACCGAACAUUUGUAAUUGCUUUUUUUAUUUGAAGCUAAAAAAAGAAAGUAUACAAAAACUAAUAGAUAAGAAAACCAACUACUCAAUUGUCAAUUCAGAAUUCAUACUGUGGGUUAUAAGGUUAUUUCAGUGAAAUUGUUUUGGUAUUGGUACACAACCUUUAUUAGUUGGUGCAACUCCCAUUUCCGGAAGUCUUCGUACACUUUAAUUGAAUUGCUGCAGCCCUAGGAAUCCAUAGUUUCUGUUUCACAAUUCACCCAAAGUUUCAUUCUUUGUUGCAGAAUUAAAUAACCUUCUGUAGUUGUUUUCACUACCUUUAUUACCUGGCUUCUCUUGCUCACAGAUAGUGGAAGCUAAUGCAAGGAAGGUGGGCAAAGUCCUAUUUAAGCCAAUAAGCAGUGAAUGUGUUGGUGUUGACAACAAGGGUGUGAACCGCCUGGUCUCCAAGAAGAUCAUCAAACGGAAGAAGCAGGGCUAUGAUGAUUCCUCCGGUGACGAGUAUCCAGAUACAACAGAGAAUGGCUGCCCUGCUGAGGCACUCUCCUACUCGGAUGGUAACAGUGCCUUGUUGGAAGAUGCAAGCAGUUCUAGUGCCAAGAGGUGACAAUAAAGGAACUCCAAGACCAUCGUACUACUGGUAAUAAUUACAGCACACCGUCACCGGUCCUAAUACCCCUUGUUACAACAGAAGAAGAUGAGAAGAACAUAGUAGUAGGCUACCCAAAAAAAAAAACUGCGAGAGCAACACCAAGAGGUUAACAGCAGUUUAAGGCAUUGCAACAUUUUUCAGUAGCAGGAGUAGCAGUAGUAGCAGUCUAGAGGUGCAGCGAGGUGUCGACGUCGACUUCACCAGAGACAUGUUUGUAGUUGUAGGUCUUACUGGGCCACAGCUCCACCGCAAUGGGGUCGCUAUCGCCGUGGAGCUGGAAGCUUUUGCAUUCACAGACAGUGGUUGGCACGGCCGGGAAUAAGGAGGCUGCGGCGGCAACAGCGGCAGUGGUUUCCCGCAGCGGCCUGCACGGGUAGAGCAGCUCCGGGUGGAAGAACCACUUGACGGGCAUCUCCCUCGGGGAGGCGGUGGCCGCAGGGCGGGGGGCGAGCACGUGGAGAAGCCUCUCCUCCCGCUUCUCCCUGAUCCUCUCCAGCUCCCUGAACCUCUGCUGCAGCAGGGCGAUGGAGGAGAACAUCACCUGGCCUUCGCUGCUCUGCACCCCCAUGAUGACUGGGCGAGAGGGGGAGCUCUCACUCCAGCUCCGAGUUUCAGUUACGUGUUCGUGUCGUGUGUAUCUCACUCAAGCGUCUGUCUACUUCGCUCGGUGUGUGUGGGGGUUUUGCUUGCUGCUUGAAGGGGUGGUGGUCUUGGGCAUGUGCGUAUUUAUAAGCCGCAAAGUUUUGUCACGGCGCAGGGCGUCGUCUUGUGGUCGUCUUGCAAGUUGCGCCAAUUCUUUCAUCUUCAUCUUCCAUUAUGUGAUGCUAUGCCUGUUUGUGUGUUUUGUUUAUGGGCUGAUUGAAAAACAAAAGAGGCACUAUUGGUAUGAGAGAGAAUCUGGGAGGAGAAUGUCACGUCGCCCGAGAAAGGAAGUGGGAGGCGUGCAGGUGAGAGAAUAAGGGGCGUGGCGUGGGAGAGUCCAAGGAAAUGGGGCUGUGGACGCUUGCGCUUGUUCCGUUCCUGGCGGUGGGAAUCGCCGUGUGCCGUUGUGAUGUGCGGGGUGGCCAUGAUUGCGCCUCUGUUUGUCUGUCACCUUUUUCCCUUGCGCAUUGCUGCAGCAGCAGGGCAGGGGAGAGGUCUGCAUGCCCUGCCAUGCCCUGCCCUGCUGCUCGUACUAGCUCGCUACUACUCCCUUCCCCCUCUCCAUCCAAACGGGCACUGCGAGCUUUUCCUGGUCUAUAAUGGCGUCGUUGGAGCUGUAGUACGUGCUGUUCGUAGCAACUGUGGGCAGCGCUUUCAGGUGUGGAACUGUGCACUCCAUGAGCCAUUGUCUUCGUUUGCGUGUGUGAACGUGUUGGAGAGUCUGGGAGCAGAAAGUCUGCGUUGAACGUUACUUCUUUGGGUCUUUGACUGGUGCGUCCAUAGAUCUGUGAAUGGGAGCGCUGAUUGCACGCUGCGUAGUACAGUGCGUUCGAGUAACGCUGAGACGGCGUGCUGCUUUGAAGUUUCAACUUUUGGUUAAUUCAGGAAAGUUGAUUGAUCUUAUGUUUUUUGACGGCCAGGUAAACACGGCCAAUUGCACCGGCGUCAAAAAGACCUCUGUCAUCCGAUGCUUUGGACAGUAAUUGAGAUAUUCGUAACAAAUGCUUCACUACCCGAAGAGAAAACUAGUUUUCGUUGGUUUCCGCAUUUUGUGAAAAUAAGAAAGGGCAUGUUUGAGUCAGAGUCGGGUUAUUAUAAUUGGAUUAUCGACUCUAAUAAUUAGAGUGCUAGAUUUUUUGUGGUGGAACCUAUCCAUUUCUUGCCUAGCCAGCCAACUAUCAUGAUGCUACAUGGUAUUUAAGUAACGACCAUUUUCUCAAAUGGUCAAGGAUUAUAUUCUUCUUUGAUUUUUUUUUCCCUUCAAGUGGCCUAGGGUUUUGUAGUCUAAUGUGAACAAUAUCAGGUGAAAACAAAAUAGCAUCAAAGAAUAGAUAGCCAAAAUGCCUAACGAAAAGGAAAAUUGUGGGUUACAUGUCUCAUGAAUUAUUUGAUGAAGUAGAAUAAGAUACGUUCGGUUAUUUGAGAGAAAAAAAAACUGCACAACAUAAAAAAAUAACUGUUUGCCUAGUUGGCUAAGAAAAAAUAUAGUGGGCUCCAUGGCUCCUAAGACUCUUUAAAUAUCAUGUAAAUGGAUAUAAAAGAAGUCAAUAAAUCAUUCUGCUGAUAUUGACUGAAUUAUUUGCUAUCAACAAUUAUCCAAAAAAGAUUUCUUUAAGAAUAAUAUUUCUACCAUGUAAAACAAGAAGAAAAAGACAAAUUAAUCGGAACUUUUGUUUGUGGCUGGAACUAUUGUAAAUGUCAUUGUUGAGUUGAGAUAUUUUUUUUUUGAAGUUCCCUUUUUGCGAGGAAUGAGUAAUCUGAACGUUAUUUGUUUGUGGUUGUUGAUUCCCUGGAGCUGUUAUAGAAGUCAUUAUUGAGUAGAGAUUUUUUGAAGUUCCUUUUUGCAACGAAUGAGUAAAUAGUUGCAUAGAUGUUUGAUGGUAUUAGCAUACUCUGCUUCUAAAAUAAUGAAAGGGAUUUUCCGUUACUAUUUAGUUGUGGACUGAGGCCUGAAGAAGUAUGUUUUGAAACUCGGAAUUUCAUGGAGGAUUUGUAGGAAUCCCAUAUAUAAUAAACAUGUCAAAAUUAAUCCUCCUAUAUUUUCUUGGUCAUUUUCUAGAGCUAGGCUCAUUUAUCUUUAAUUUGUCUAGUGAAGAGUAUAUGUAUAUCCUUUGCUCCAAACAUGUAGUGGUGAGUGGAGUUUACUAAUAUUAUUAUGUGUAGUUAACCUAGAACUAGAAGCUUGGUAACUGAGCCUUAUCUAAUCUGGCCCUAAACUAACUUAUCAUCCAAACUGAUCAGUUGGAGUCUUGUGACGAUGAUAUCUCUGGUUUGUUGUGGAACGGGACUAGUACUGCCGGACAUAUUAUACAUUGGAUGCAUGCGACAUAUAUACAGUGUUGAACUUGUUUAUAUUAAUUUAUCCUGGAUAGCCAAUAGUAGCCCAUAACAUUAACAUGCAACAUAGUAUAUGCAUUUGCAUGUACUGCUAGUUCCCUGCUACGUACGAUCCUGACAGUAGGCACCUAAUCUUUCCAUGCCCCAAUAUUUUACCGCCGCUGUCGCUUCCAUUCUAGAGAGAGAACAAUAUGACCAUCUUGUAAAACAUUCUAGAGAAGAGAUGCAUGGAGAGUAUGGCAAUAAUUUAAGCAGAUUGAUGGGAGCGAGAUAUUUUUAAAGGCAGAUCAUCGAUUGAUGCAUGGGAGCGAGAGAGCUUAGCAGAGAAAAUAAAGAAGAUUGGUGAUUGGUGAUAGGCCGGGGCAGCCGUGGUGCAGCAGCAGCUAGAACUAGAGAAGCUAAAAGGAAGGCUGAUGGCAGGGCAGGGCAGUAGUUUAAGGACGGGUCCAUGCCUGCAGCUAGCUAGCAUCUAUCGACGUUCCUCCGUUGUCGCGGAGCCGGUGGACGCGAAUGGCAUGCGUGGGUGCACUACCCUGCUGAUGCACACAGCAUGCAUUGCUGCCUGCAUGCGACAUGGUAUACAGCUCCCGGCCGGCGUCUCUCCUCUCCUCUCUUCUCUUCUCUUGUCCAUCCAUCGGCAGCAUACGGUCGGUCACUCGCAGCAUGCAUGCUCCUCUGAUCGAGCUCUGCUGGUGUCGUGUCGUGUCGUCGAUGGAUCGGGGCCGGGUUGGGUGUUGCUGCAUUGCAUGCUCCCUAAAGCGCCGCCCUUGUUGCCAAAGUGAAUGCUGCCGACGACGACCGCCGCGCCGCCCGUCUUCUUUUUCGGCGGAGGGGGGCGGCCGGGCACGGGCACGGGCACGGCACAGUCUUCCGGGCAGGGGCAGGGGCAGCCGGGCAAGCCAACACCUGCUAGCGGACGAGAAAUUGAAUCGAAUGGGAAACAAAGAAAAAAUUGAUGGCUGAUGGCUCCAUCUUUCUUUCUGUCUGUCUGUCUGUCGGUCAGUCAUUUUACUAAUUUAUUUGACUGCGCUACGGAGACGACAGUGUAACAUUUUUAUUUGUAUUUAAUAAUUAUUAUUUAACUAUAGACUAAUUAGGCUCAAAAGAUUCGUCGCGUAAACUAUAGACAAACUGUGCAAUUAGUUUUUAUUUUCGUCUAUAUUUAGUACUUUAUACAUGUGCCACAAGAUUUGAUAUGACGGGAAAUUUUAAAAAGUUUUUGAAUUUCGAAGUGAACUGGUCAAAUAUGCAAUGCUUGUACGUGCGCACUAGUUUAUGCCAAUGAUUCAUUUUUCGCGGAUCCUCCGAAUUUCACACCAUACAGUCAGAAUAUAAUUGCUCCAAGACACGUCAAUUUUGAUGCGUCAAUUUGUGCAUGUGGUUCCUGGCACUACUGGAUCCGGCUUCUUUGCCGAGAGCCGCGAGCCCUCGGCAAAUGCCUAAAAGCCCUCGGCAAAGGCUUUGCCGAGGGCCAUAAACGCCCUCGGCAAAGCCUACGGCGCCGUCGAAAAACGUCAAUAUUGACGUCGUCUUUGCCGAGAGCCAUGCUGGCAGGCUCUCGGCAAAGAUUCUUUAUUUUUUUUAAAAAAAGCCUUUGCCGAGAGCCCUGCAGGAAGGCUCUCGGCAAAGAACCCCUUUGCCGAGAGCCAGACAUCCAGGCUCUCGGCAAAGAACCCCUUUGCCGAGAGCCAGACAUCCAGGCUCUCGGCAAAGCUGUAGUUCUUCUGAACCCGGCUUUCUAUCUUUGCCGAGUGCCAGCCAUCCAUGCUCUCGGCAAAGCUGAGAAUUUAGUUUUUUUUUCUGUUUUUUAUCUGUUUUUUACAUGCACAGCCACAUAUGUAUAUAUAUAUAUCACAAAUCCCUUUGUCUAUAUCACAAUCCACAUAUAUAUCACGCAUGAAACAUAUCGAAGUCCACAGAUAUCACAAAUCCACAUAGAUAUGACAAAUAUAACAUUACGUCCAACAUAAACCAUAAGUCACCACAAGUUCAUAACAUAAACCACAAGUCCACGUGAAUAUCACUCCUCGAAGUCGCUAGCGCCUCACCCCUAGUGCUGUGACUCUGACCUGUCGUCGCCGUGGCCUCCGUCGUGUCCCGAGCCUCCAUCUGGCCAAGCCGACCAGGGUGAGUGCCCCCCAGGGUGUGUAGAGCUCGCACCUGCCCACGGCGCCCACAUGGCCUGCCCUGGCACCGACGGGUACGGGUACGAGUACCCGGGGCGCGGAGGAGGGCUGCCGGACAACCCGGGGUGGCCGUGCUGCGGAUGGGCACCAGGCCACGUGUGCUGCGUACUUGGGUGGCCAUAAGUAGUAACCUGCCACCCACUCCUUGGAGAAGGGGUCGGGUUCGAACCCCACGACUGAUGCUACAUAAUAUAAAAGCGAACUCAUUAGUAUCUGCAGGACGGCCACACAAGCCAAAGCAAUAGACAAACAUAUAUACACUCACCGGACUGCCUGCAGGGGCAGGAACAGGGGGUGGAACAGGGGGUGGAGCGAAGAGCGAGGCAGGCAGCGGAGGCGCUGUAGAGCUGUGGAUGGACUGGAAGUAUCCGACUAGGUCCGAGAUCUGACGCUGCGUGUGCUGCUGCUGUGCCUCCAUGUGGCGCCGAUGGGCCUCGUCUCUGGCCGCCAGCGCGGCCGCCAGCUCUCGCCGAUGAGCCUCCUGCAGCUCGUCCUGCCUGGCCCGCAACUCCUCUAGCUGCGACUGCAAUAUUACACCCGCAAUGGUUAAACAAUGCAAAAGGAGAUGUAUAUAUGUAAAAAUAAUGGACGAUGGAUAAAGCUGUAGUUACCUGCAUCGUAGCUAUCUGCUGCACGGAGCUCGGCUGACGAGGCCGUAUGGGGACGUCGGAGGUCGAGCUGCUCCCCUGCCGAACCUCGCGGAGCGUGGGUACGGUGGCCGGGUUGAUUGCGCUGUGGGCAAUCAUGUACCGGCCGUGCUGCUUCCCUCCUCCCGUCCUCAUGAGCAAGUCCGUGUCCGAGACCCUUUGCCGUGGGCCGUCCAGUCUGGCUCUCGGCAAAGACCCUUUGCCGUGAGCCUAACGCGCAGGCUCUCGGCAAAGAACUGCUGACUUUUUUUAUUCUUUUUGAAUUUAGAGCUGAGUUUUUUUUUUUGUCCUUGUGACUCAAUUUCUAAAUACAUUUUAAAAUUUGGCAUUAAUUUGACUUUUUUUGCUAUAUUUAACUAAUUAAUCUUGUUUCUUUAUAUUUUUUCACAUAAUUCAAAUUUCAACUGUAGGUACAUGAAAUAUUACAACUCAAUGAUUCGAAAAAUGAUAGUCAAGAUAUUUGGUGUACGUUGAGGUCGUAACCACAACCACACAUGAAAUCUCAACCCUCUCGCUAACAUAACAUGUCAAGGAAUGUGAGGGAAAAUGGAUUUAUAAUUAUAUAAAUUUCAAAUAAACUCCAAAAAUCACGAAACUUGGCGACGUGUCGUGUUAUCGCAUGUGGAGGCUGUGGUAAAAAAUUCAUAAGGUUCCGAGCAAGUUGCGACACCGGAUGUCUAAAACCCAGACAUCUCCACAUGUUAUCGAAUGUGAUCACAUGCGGAGAUGUCUGGGUUUUAGACAUCUCGUGUCGCAACUUACUCGAAACCUUAUGAUUUUUUUACCACAGUCUCCACAUGCCAUAACAUGACACAUCGUCAAGUUUCGUGAUUUUUGGACUUCAUUUGGAAUUUAUAUAAUUAAAAAUCACUUGUACGACACAUGGAUGGUCAUGUUUUAUAUACAAGAAAUUCAAACUCUUGGGUGAGUUUAUGGAUACAACAUCAAAAUGCAGUCUUGAACAUGAGUAUAAUUUUUUGAAUGACUAUAUUUUAUUAUUUCAUGCUCCUACAGUUCAAAAUUACUUUUUCGAGAAAAAUACAAAUAAAAUAAUUUAAUUAAAAAAUAUAGCAAAAUGUUAUAAAAAGCUCUCAAAUUUGAACAUGUGCUUAUAUACAAUAUGUAAGGGUUACAGAAAAAGUUUGAGUACAAAACUAAAAAAAAUCUUUCUUCUUUGCCGAGAGCUUGACAAGGCACUUGGCAAAGGCCUCCUCUUUGCCGAGAGCCUAACGCCGUGGCUCUCGGCAAAGGUGACGACAACGGUUGCCGUUACCAGCGCUGCUCCUUUGCCGAGAGCCUAUCUUUGCCGAGAGCUAGGCUGUCGGCAAAGCUAGCCUUUGCCGAGGGCUUGCCUUUGCCGAGAGCUUGACCAUCGGUAAAGUUUCUUUGCCGAGGGUCGUUUCUGACUGUCGGCAAAGGCAGUCUUUGCCGAGGGCUAGCUCUCGGCAAAGCUGAGCCCUCGGCAAAGCUCUCGUUUCCUGUAGUGUGGGCUUUGAAUUGAUCGAUGGCAAAAAGCCGUAAUGGAAGCACGUCGCGUCUUGAAUGCAUGCACUAUAUAGGAAUAUAGCUACACAAAAGAAGAGAAAUAAUGACACACAUAGUAGUAGCUAGCUAGUAAAGUGUGUAUGUAAGGCCUUGUUUAGUUCCCAGAAAAUUUUGCAAAAUUUUUCACGGUCCCCGUCACAUCGAAUCUUUAAACGCAUACAUAAAGUAUUAAAUAUAGACGAAAAUAAAAACUAAUUGCACAGUUUGGUCGAAAUAGACGAAACGAAUCUUUUGAGCCUAGUUAGUCCAUGAUUGGAUAAUAUUUGUCAAAUACAAACGAAAGUGCUACAGUGUCGAUUUUGCAAAAUUUUUCGGAACUAAACAAGGCCUAAACCUAAAAGCCCAUGCAUUAUUGCUUUUUAAAAAGUUAAAGCGGUGAUGGAUGGUUUUGUUCAUGGCUCGAGGAGGAUGUGUCCUAGCUAGUUGUUGGUGGGGGAGGUGAGAGUACCUAGGAAAAUUUGCUUACAUUUUCCUGUACAUGCAUGCAUGCAACGCUAAUUGGAUGGAUAUGGUCGGAACAUGCAUGGGUCCACCAUUCACAUCUCUUGGUCCUACACGCACGCCUACUAUUGUGAUGCGUCUCAGCUUUUUAAUGUGCCUGCGUUGCAUGCAUGCAGCUGGGUACGUAAGGACACGCCGCAAGCUGCCCAAACUCUAGCUCUGCUUCCCGCAUUGCAUUGCAUUGUAUCUACCUCGUGGCGCAUUAGGGUUAGAGAGAGAGAGAGAGAGAGAGAGAGAGAGAGAGAGAGAGAGAGAGAGAGAGAGAGAGAGAAGUGUGGUAUAGCUAGCAUGCAUCCAUAUAUAUCCGAUCGACCUGUAGUUCAUGGCACAUUCAUUAGGUUUGGAAGAGUGAGAUCGAGGCAGGACGAUAUGUAGUACGUCGUCGUCCUUCGUAUAAACGGACAUUCGCUCAAUGUUGAAUUGUUGACAGACGACGAUGCGCGCGGCACUUUGUUUGACCAUGCAUGCAUUCAUCCGUGCAUGCAUGGAGCGUCUAUGUGCUUGUCCCUGAAUAAACUAAUUAAUCACUGCACGAACUCGAUCGCCUUGCUGUCAACUUAGCUUAGCUUAUUACAAGUGUGUUAACGACAAGCAAUCAUGGAAAUGAGCUGCAUAUAGACACUGUUCACAAUGCACGUUAUGUUGGAGCACUAGCUAUAGCUAAUUAAUGAGCCAGCAAUUAACAAAACGCCUGCUAAACCAAAAUAUGCAUUUAAGCCAUGUUUCGUUUCCUCCGGUAAAGUUUAACUCCUGUCAUAUCGAGUGUUUGGACACAUGCAUUAAAUAUUAAAUAUAAAUUAUUUACAAAACUAAAAUAAAACUAGAGAGUAAUUUGCGAAAUAAAUCUUUUAAAUCUAGUUAGUCUAUAAUUAGAUACUAAUUGUCAAAUAAAACAGAAAUAUGCUAUAUGCUACAGUACAUCCUUAACCGGCAAGUACAGGCCGGGUGAGGCAUGUCGGAUGCUAGAGAUGGCCAAAUGGGCUAAGCCCAAUAAUACGCAGCCUAAGCACAUAUGGGCCUACUAAAGCAUCGCAUUACAUUAUGGGUCGAGCCACUAUGUGUCUCGUGCCCUUUUUUACCAUUCAAAAUGGGUGCUCUCAGGAUGGAUCAUAAUUAUGCCCCUUUUUAAUUCGAGAGCAAUGUUGAUCAAAUUUCGUCGUAGUUGCAGCACAGCCAAAAAAAAAAACUAACAAAAAGAGCCUGUCAGACAACCCAUGGGCCAUCCCAGCCAGGCAAGCCUGGCCGGAAACGAUCAUCUACAGCACCGGACAAAGCGUCAGAGCCAAUCCUGGCCGUUAAUCACGCUCUGGCCCACAGGUCAUGGCUCAUCAACCAGGCUUAAGUGCUUGCCUCCUUAUUAAUCAAGGAUGCAGCGGUACGAUCCUAUAGAACAGAUCCUGUUCAAGUAAGGUCGU